AUACCGGCCAGAGACCGAUAGCGCACAAGUAGAGUGAUCGAAAGAUGAAAAGCACUUUGGAAAGAGAGUUAAAAAGCACGUGAAAUUGUUGAAAGGGAAGCGCUUACAACCAGACUUUGGGGCGGUGUUCCGCCGGUCUUCUGACCGGUCUACUCUCCGUCCCGAGGCCAACAUCAUCUGGGACCGCCGGACAAGACCUCAGGAAUGUAGCUCCCCCUCGGGGGAGUGUUAUAGCCUGUGGUGAUGCGGCGCGUCCCGGGUGAGGUCCGCGCUUCGGCAAGGAUGUUGGCGUAAUGGUUGUCAGCGGCCCGUCUUGAAACACGGACC
rnacentral:rRNA from 1 species